rnacentral:lncRNA from 8 species
CCCACCCUGACUGCAGGCAUUCUCUCUCACCCUGUCCACAUGCCCCUGUUUAGGGGAAGACUGAGGGAAUAACCUAUCAGCUCAGUGAGACAGAACUGUUAAGGGGGCAGGGGCCGAUAAAGGCCAUUGGAUAUAGUAAAGAGAGUGGAGAGAUUUACGUGGCAGCUAUUGACGCUUUCCAAUGGCCCUUGGCUUUGACAGCGACACAAGACCACCCGCGAGGUGUGUUGUUGGCAGGGUGCCAAGCCAAACUGCUUUUGCGUUAGCCUAUAGCGAGCCUAUAACGAGGGCAUUACAAAGUCAUGUCGUCGCGGGAAAUCCCAGAAUAGAGUUCUCAUUUCGGUGCGGAGCCCCCUCACAAAUAGACCACAGAAACCGUAUAGUCAGUGACGCGCUCAGUCGCGUUUUCACACUAACUUUGUGUCUGUCAGUGUGUCCGCCUCACAUGCAUUCCGUUUCACAUGUUGACGACGACAGCUCACUGUGAUCUGUCAUUUAUACUGGGAUUGAUAUGAAAGGAUUGAAUCAAACCAGAAAGAGAGAGGAGAACAUAGACACCAAAGGUCUUCAGAUGGGAUAUGACAGCCAACAGAAACUCUGAAAGUUCUCUGGAUAUAGUUGAAAUGAUUGAAAGCGAAAGCGCGCUCCCCGUCUAAACCCAUCACUUCGUUAUUUAGUCACUCUGUUUUUACUAGCGUCUAUUUUCUUCAAAUUCAAGAACAACAAUAUACAUUCCCCACAACAAGAACACUUUUGAAGAGAAAGCAACAUAUUCUCAGAAAUGCCCCUCCACAAUAUGGACCCCCCGAGGAGCCGAUGGGAGCAGGGCUUGCGGCCGCCGUGGGUCGCCCGAUUGGCUGGAGGGCAAAGCCCCGCCUCUUCAGGGGUGGAGUCAGACACAGAGAGCAGCAGCACAGAGAGCGAGAGGUCUCCAGCCAAACGUUCAGAGGCGCGGUCACCGAGGAUCCUACCGUUGCCCUCCAUGCUGCAACAGCGAAUCACAGAGAUCGACCAGCAGAGGGAGGAGCUAAAGAUAGAGCUGCAGCUGGAGAUAGCCCUGUUGGAGGGCGAGCUGCAGGAGGAGAGGAACGAGCUGCGCAGGCACACUCUGUAUCUACAGACACUGCAGGAGGAAGGCGGGCAGGAGGAGACACACAGACAGACGGACAGACAGAAGGAGCGAGCCAGUCUGGAGGUGGAGAGGGCCCGGGUUGAGGAGCUGAGGAGUAGGUUGGAGGAGAAGGAGACACUGAUCCCCAGUCAGCCAGAGGGCCAGAGAGAGCAGCUACUGAUCCAACUACAACAGGUGAUUUACUGAUCCAGGAACAGUCCACUGACUGGGGUGGUAUUCAUUAAGGCACGCAAUGUUUUAAAACGUUUUGCAAAACAAAAAGAAAAAGAGCGCUUCUUAAGUCCAGGUUGUCCCUACCUGUUUCACUCCGUUUUCUUCCGUUUGGUACCUUAUCAAUAGUACCCAGCUAACUGAUUUCAUGCCUUGCCACUAGACAGCGUGCAAAAGAGAAUGCACUGCAUCUUCUACCUGUUUGUCUGUCUAGAUGUAGUUAGGGUAGUUCACAGGUAGCCUAGCAGAGUGACAUCAUCUGCCCUGAGACCUGAAGUGAAGUCAACUUUGUGCAGUGGAGAGCUAGCUUUUGGUCUAUAUACAGUUGAAUUCAGGUGCUAGUGACAGCAUGGUCUCACACUGCCUCUGGUUAGAACUCAUUUCACAUCAUGUGUUCUAAUUCUUGCCUCUCUCGUCAUUGUUAUAAAGGAUUGCAUGUUCUUUCUUGUCGGCGGUACUAGUUAUCUUUGUAAUACCUCUUCUACCUGAUAGGUCAAAGUGUCAUAGAGGUAUCUGAGACAGACAUGCAGGCAGGCAGACAAAGGGUUCAUUGUGCAUUUUGGCAGUGACACUGACAUGGCGUGUCAUUCUGAUGCCAGUGGAUGUGUCCCACAUGGCACCCUAUUCCCUAUAUAGUGCACAACUUUUAACAAGAGGCCAAUGGGGCCUGGUCAAAAGUAGUGUACUAUAUUGAGAAUAGGAUGGCCUUUGGGACACAAGCUUGAGACCUACGACUUGGUUUAAUGGUCUUGAAUGGAGUGGUCCGACCAGUUGUUUUUUGGUUUAGUGUCCUAAGCCACAGGCUCUUUCUGUACUAAUCAAUAGCUUUCUUCCAUUUUCUGUCUGUUCCUAUCCUUCUGCAUCUUUCUUUCAUCACUUUCUCUCUCUCUCUGCAUCCCUCCAUCACACUCUCUUUUUCCCUCCAUCUCUCUCUGUUCCAUCUCUCUUUCCCUCCAUCUCUCUCUCUCCCUCCAUCCCGCUCUCUUUCUCUCUUUCCCUCCAUCCCUCUCUCUCUCUUCCAGGAGAAAGAGACGGUGGAAGCAGCCGGCCGCGUGUUUGAGGACUGGGAAUUCCGUGUCCUGGAGAGCGAGGCCGGAGUAGAGGAGGAGGAGAGAGAAGGAAAGAUAGAAGGGAAGGAGAGAGGGAACGAGGAAGAUAAGGAGAAGGAGAUCUCAUGCCAAAAGCAUGCUGUCAACUCAGCGCAGGUAAGCCAGGGUCAACAAAUAAGAAGACGACAACAUUUCAGAGAAUCUCGCAGCUCCAAGCUGGUUCUACUAGUUUGGUUAGAAGCUUAUCCCGCACACUAGACUCUCUCUAAAUGUCCCCCCCCCCCCCCCACGGUAGUCACUCUCUGUUUGGAAACGGCUCCUCACAAGUACCCCCCUUCCCCC